rnacentral:rRNA from 1 species
CCUGCCCUGUGACAAAAGUUUAACGGCCGCGGUAUUUUGACCGUGCAAAGGUAGCGCAAUCACUUGUCUUUUAAAUAGAGACCUGUAUGAAUGGCAUAACGAGGGCUUAACUGUCUCCUUUAUCCUAUCAAUGAAAUUGAUCUCCUCGUGCAGAAGCGAGGAUAAUAACAUAAGACGAGAAGACCCUAUGGAUCUUUAGUCGCAAGAACAGAACAUGUCAAAUCUAUUAAUCAAAAACCGAAAAUUAUUGAAACCUGUUCAAGUGCCUUUGGUUGGGGCGACCGCGGAGUAAAAAAAAACCUCCAUGAAGAAUGAAGAAAUCUCUUCCUAUUUAAGGAUGACAAUCCUAAAAAUCAGAACUUCUGACUAUAAUGAUCCGGCAAAGCCGAUCAACGAACCGAGUUACCCUAGGGAUAACAGCGCAAUCCUCUUUUAGAGUCCAUAUCGACAAGAGGGUUUACGACCUCGAUGUUGGAUCAGGACAUCCUAAUGGUGCAGCAGCUAUUAAGGGUUCGUUUGUUCAACGAUUAA